UGAGCAAUCUGCCCAUCUCUUUGGAAUAAGCGUUAGAAACGACGUCUAAUGCCGAAUACGACCUCCUUUCGCAUGAUCGGAGGUGGAAAGCUCCGGCGGAGAUGGAUGAGCUCGCGGCCUAUCAGCUAGUUGGUGAGGUAACGGCCCACCAAGGCGACGACGGGUAGCCGGCCUGAGAGGGUGACCGGCCACACGUGGGAUUGAGACACGGCCCAGACCUCCGUAACGGGGAGCA
rnacentral:rRNA from 1 species